rnacentral:rRNA from 1 species
UACGUAGGGGGCAAGCGUUGUCCGGAAUCAUUGGGCGUAAAGCGCACGUAGGCGGCCCGGUAAGUCCGUUGUGAAAGUCAGAGGCUCAACCUCUGGAGGCCAAUGGAUACUGCCGGGCUAGAGUCCGGAAGAGGCGAGUGGAAUUCCUGGUGUAGCGGUGAAAUGCGCAGAUAUCAGGAGGAACACCUGUGGCGAAGGCGGCUUUCUGGGCCCUACCUGACGCUGAGACGCGAAAGCGUGGGGAGCGAACCGG